rnacentral:miRNA from 1 species
AUUUUGGAAGAAUUUCAGCUG